UAACACAUAGUGUCAGAUAACAGGCCAG
rnacentral:piRNA from 1 species